CUACAGCUUUUCCUCGUUAGAGCUGAUCACUGAGGCACCAACUUGAUUGCCUCUUCACAGAGGAAGGGUAUGGCUUGAUCAUGACUUACAGGAAGAGAUACUGAUUUAAGCUGCUUUCCUCAGUAAAGAUUGCAGCCAUGUAGAAAAUAAAUUUAUGGUUGCAGUAAGAGAAGGCAGAAGAGGCUGUACCUCUUCUAGAAGUUGCCUCGCCAUAAUUUCCAUUCCAAUAGAGAGGACUCUUCUACAGCAAGGAGGGACAUGGUGGCAAGAGGACUUCAGCAGUGUUAAGAUGUGACCAGAGGCACAGAAUACUAUCACUACAGCAGAUCCUCUGGAAAGCGGUUUGCAGAACAGACAGGCUUGCAAGAACCUCAAGGCUGUUAUUCUGUGACUUAAGGCUGGUUGUUCAGGAGGCCAGUGAAGAAUGGACUCUUUGGACAUUGUGCCCAUUCACACAAAGGGUGGCCCGUUACCUUGAGGAGCUUGGCCUCGCCAGGAGGAGCAAGGCUCCUGUAUUCCUGCUUGCUUACUCUCAUCUUGCACUCAAAAUGGCAAACCCCAGUCAAGCAGCAGUGCAUUUGCACUGCCACAUGCAAGUGUAACAGACGGUCUUCCCAUCCAUAAGAACAAAUGUCAGCAUUUCAGAAAACACUUGAAAUUACUUUAGCCAAAUAAAUGCCCCCAAAAAUUUUGAGCCGUGCCACUGUUCAGAUUGUUCUGCUGUUUUUCUCCCUUAUGUCAGCACCACUUCACACUCCAGACAUGCUAAUCCCAAAAUAUCUACAUAGGAGCUUUAGAAUUUCUUAUAUCUCCACAAGACACGGGGAUGAAAUGUAGAUGUUUUCAAAUCCGACAUCCGUAUCUGAGUUAAUCACCUUAGCCUUUAUAAUCAGUGAGUGGGUAGGAUAGGAAUUUUUUGGGCAUGGUUCAUCUCCUCCCAAAGUAGAAUUUUGUCAAGUGAUUGAUGAUCUAAAUGUGCUUAUUAGUCUCCAGAAGACCAUGGUGUGACUAUAUGACUAGAAGUUAGGUGAGAUGAAUCCCACCCACAGUGAUGUAUUAGGUAAACAAAUGGUAUCAAAAUUUCCGAAAGCAUAUUAAGUUGAUGACUGCUGUAGUUUAAUAUCAAACAUC